UACGUAGGGGGCGAGCGUUGUCCGGAGUUACUGGGCGUAAAGCGCACGCAGGCGGUCUGCUAAGUUUGGAGUGACAGUUGGUGGCUUAACUGCCAAAGUGCUUCGAAAACUGACAGACUUGAGGGCUUCAGAGGGACACGGAAUUCCGGGUGGAGUGGUGAAAUGCGUAGAGAUCCGGAGGAACACCAAAGGCGAAGGCAGUGUCCUGGGGAGUACCUGACGCUGAGGCGCGAAGGCUAGGGGAGCGAACAGG
rnacentral:rRNA from 1 species